rnacentral:rRNA from 1 species
GGACUACCGGGGUAUCUAAUCCCGUUCGCUCCCCUAGCUUUCGCACCUGAGCGUCAGGUACCAUCCAGGACAUUGCCUUCGCCUUUGGUGUUCUUCCGGAUAUCUACGCAUUUCACCACUCCACCCGGAGUUCCAUGUCCCUCGCUGGUCCUCAAGUCCGGCAGUUUAGUGACCGCUCUCCCAGUUAAGCCAGGAGCUGUCACCCACUACUUACCGCACCGCCUGCGUGCGCUUUACGCCCAGUAACUCCGGACAACGCUUGCCCCCUACGUAUUACCGCGGCUGCUGGCAC